GACGAACGCUGGCGGCGUGCUUAACACAUGCAAGUCGAACGGAAAGGCCUCUUUCGGGGGGUACUCGAGUGGCGAACGGGUGAGUAACACGUGAGUAACCUGCCCUUGACUUUGGGAUAACUUCAGGAAACUGGGGCUAAUACCGGAUAGGAGCUCCUGCUGCAUGGUGGGGGUUGGAAAGUUUCGGCGGUUGGGGAUGGACUCGCGGCUUAUCAGCUUGUUGGUGGGGUAGUGGCUUACCAAGGCUUUGACGGGUAGCCGGCCUGUGAGGGUGACCGGCCACAUUGGGACUGAGGUACGGCCCAGACUCCUACGGGAGGCAGCAGUGGGGAAUAUUGCACAAUGGGUGGAAGCCUGAUGCAGCAACGCCGUGUGCGGGAUGACGGUCUUCGGGUUGUAAACCGCUUUCGCUCAUGACGAAGCUUUGUGUGACGGUAGUGGGUAAAGAAGCACCGGCUAACUACGUG
rnacentral:rRNA from 1 species